rnacentral:misc_RNA from 1 species
AACGCACAUUGCGCCCGUUAGCAUUCUAGCGGGCAUGCCUGUUCGAGCGUCAUUUCAACCCUCAGCUUCUACACUGUAUUUGCUGGUGUUGGGGUCCUCUGCGGCUGCCGCAGGCCCUGAAAAACAGUGGCGGGCUCCGCUAUACUCCGAGCGCAGUAAUACCUCUCGCUUAGGGUGUAUGGUGGAGAUCCAGCCCUUUUUUAAACUUUUUGUGGUUGACCUCGGAUCAGGUAGGAAUACCCGCUGAACUUAA